UGUUGGGGGCGCGGCUGGAGAUGCCCUAACCCGCGUUCUCGCGAGCCCCCUUGCCGCCGCCAUCCCUCCCCUCUGCACCGUGCCGGAUCCGCCUGCCGCCGCCGCCAGCGCUCUCCUCUGCCUUCGUCAUGGAGAAUGCCGUCCAGCAGCACGGCGGACCCGCAUCUCCUCGCGCCCCCCUUGGCGCCGCCGUCACCCCUCUCCUCUGCCCCGUGCCGGAUCCGAGGCGUGCGGGCGCGAGCUUCUCCGGCGGCGGCCGCCUCCCUCUCGGCUCCUCUGCUCCUGCGCCGCCUCUCCCACCGCCUCCGUGCUCGACAGGAGGAGACGGGGUCGCAGCCGCACCGCACGACGGUGGGCGAUGGUGAGCUGCACCGCACCAGGUGGGCUAGGGCGAGCUCCAGUGCGAGCGCGCGCAACCGUCGCCCACGCCGGCGGGGUCCCCGACCCCGAGCAACAGGAACACACGGCUGGAUCUCCUCCUUCUCCGUCCACGCGUGUGCAACAACAACUGGCAGCCGCACAGGUCCGACCUCGGCCGCCCACGUCGAUGGAGACAAGGGAGCAGCUCGGCUGCAUGCCGGUAGUGACGGACAGCCGGGCGCAGGCCACCUCUCCCCAUACGUUGAGACAUCACCAUUCUUGUCCGCUGCCCAACUCCGUCGCGGCUCAGGCCUAGAAGGCGACAGCGGCGCCGCGAGGACUCGCUGCAAAGAAGCCUUGGGAGGAGGUCCCCGACUCGGAUGGCGGCUGCUGAAAGGUCACGCACUUCUUCGGCCCGCAGACCGGCUCAGCUUACGUCUUAUCCAAGUGAAGGAGCUGGUUUUGCGGCAUCUGUUGAACUUAGUCAAAUUAGGUGUGUUGUGUAUGUACCUUGGAGCUGAAAAUGUAACAUUAGCUCUAGAACUGGUUGCCUAUACUGAAGAAAUACAGAUACAUAUAUAGACUGAGGCUUGUGUCUCCUGGGUGUAGCUCUCAUCACCAUAACAAAGGUUCGAGGGUGUAAAUCUACCUGAUAUAUUGUUGACGGGGAUUGAGUAUUGUAGUGAUAUAUCUGAGAAUUUUAAUGAUCUAUCUGCUACCAGACAAUGAAGGAGAUGGACAAACAUAUAGCUCUAUGGUGAGGGUUGCAUGGAGUACGAAGGCUUGUAUGCUGCAAGAGAUUUAGACACCCAGUUGCUGAUCUUCAGCCCCUUGAUGUUGGUUUACCAAUCUGCAUUCCACACUCUUCAAAGGUUCCGAGGAAGGUGAGUUUUGUGCCUCUAUCAGCCAUUUUUGAACCAGAUAUGCAGCAGCAAGGGAGUAGCCCUAUCACUCUCGAUCAAAACCUCAAAGGGCGAAGGGAGAACGCAACAACAUUCUUCUAUGAUAGUUAAUGUUGUCCCACCUAUACGUUUUAUUAAGGCAUGAUAGGUGCCUCUAUCAGCCAUUUUCUACCAUGUACGGCUGAUACAUGUUAACUGCCAGUUUGUACAGCAGCAGCAGGUCAUCCACUUCUACCCAAGUUGCCAUGGAAAAUCUAAUGGGUUUACGACUAUCUCAGUUCAUAAUGGUGUGAGCUUUGUAGGAGUGGGAUAUCAUAUACAGUAUGAUAGAUAUGGAAGACAACAAGCAAAAAUUCAAUUAUGAGAUGAUCGGCUGUUUCAAUCUUUUUCUUCUGCUUACAGUCCACCAACAGGAUUGUUGAUGCCCGCAGGAGGGGGACAUCGCAGUAGAUGGGCUGAAGUAGGAGGCUGAGAGAAAUGGGAAACAACGGAUUCUAGCACAUAGUAGAUGCCUAAGAUGUCACUGAAGCGCUAUUGAGGUCACAUACACUCCAACAUCUAAAAUAAAUCCAGCAGGCAGUUUAGAGUUUUUCGGGUUGAUGAUUAUGAAUGCAGAUAGACCUAUCUAAUCCAGCUUUUGCUUGAUUUUUGUCACUGAACUUCAUAUUAGAUGUGAUAUAACUACUCAGAUUGUAUCAGCCUUCCUAUUCUUUCCCCUUUCCUAUUACUACAAGUGUAUAUGGUAAUUAUUUAUCAAAUAAUACACGGCUUUUGUUCAUCUCAUGCGCAGGUGGCGCAACGGGUGCUUUAUAAAACCAAUGUAUGCUACAAAGUAUCUAUUCAGUAUCAGUCACAUAUACAUGGUUUGAAUACUCGGCCCGCUCUCGCUUAUUUUACCAAGGAUCUUCAACAAGUAUAUCUGCAAAAGGUCAAAUUCCAUUCAAUUCAGACCCAAACAAUACUCCGCUAGGUUGAUCGCACACUACAGCAAAUUCCUUUCAAAAUAAUCUAUUCACCGUGAAGCACGCUCUCAGUUCUGAAUAUAACACACUUUUUUCUCGAUACAUAUUCGUAUUGUGCAUGUAUUGAAGUUCAUAGCCAUAUACAUUGACAUACCAUGUAUAAUUUUUUUUGCAUAUAAUGAACCAACACUUUGCUUAAAAAAAAUUAUCUCAAGUAUUUGUCCUACUUUAUGCCAUGCAAGAAAUCAAAUUAAUUGAUUGGAAUUUAUAGAUGCUUAUAAAAUAUGCAGACCUAUUGAUAAAAAAGGAAAAACAAUUUUCAAAUGCUCCUAUUUUCCCCCCUUCUUCCACACAACAAACUCCAUGGAGAUUGGCCUUUGCAAUGCAGCGCUCUUGCUUACGUCUUUAUAAUAAUCACAUUCUUAUUUUCCUUUAUUAUAGCAAAUUCUUGAUCAUAUAUGUUGCUCUACACCACCAUAUAGCUACUUGAUUAUGCUAUACAAUUUUUUUUGCCAGUAAUAAAAUAUUUUAAAAAACAUCUUUGUACCACGCCUGCGCGUCAGCCAAAAAAAGUUACUUUUUUUAACAAACAUGAUAACGUAAUUCUCCUUUUUGAAGACGUAAAAGAACGCUCUCCAUCAACAAAAAAAAUAUCUGCAAAAUAGAGCGUGCUGCAUCCUGCUUAAUACAAUACCUUUGAAAAUUUCAACGGCCCAUGAUCAGCCCAUAGAAAUCUUUGCCUGGCCCUUUUUAGAAGAAGACCGCGGCUCCCAUUGAACUCAGCCGCUACAGAUUCCUUAUCCAGAUCCACCGCCGGACCGUCUCCCCACCCACAUCGACAGCGACCGCCCUGGCAUCGGCCUGCUGCUGGAACCAUGGCCAAGAAGCCGCUGCCAGGUAACAGUGCUGGGCGUCGUUACAGCGCGCCACCGACGUAUUCACUCGCGGCGCGCCUGGCUCAAGGGCUCCCCAACGAACAGGCCGCCUCUUCCCUUGUGGAUAGGCGCUCCAAUUGCCAGAUUUACAAGGUAAGCUCCAACAACUGCAUUAGAUUUGUACAGACUAGCCAAGAUUUCUCUUAGAGAAUCAAUAAGGAAGCGAAUCAAUUUAUGUAAUCCUUAUAUAGCCUUUUUAUGAGCGAUAAUCUAACACUUACAAGAUCAUCUUAGGAUUUCCUAAUGAAUCCUGUACAAAUUCCACCAAGGAUUCUUUUAGAUGCUACUGAAAGGCACUAUAGCUCCCAAAAUCUGUGUAGAACACCCAGCGUACCAGCCUACAGGAAACGUUGGUAUAGAGACUGACUGAGUUUUAUCAACCUCUGCAGCAUUUACCAGAGAGCACUGUCAAGCGAUUUAUUUUUCAGUCUGAGUCAUCUUGCUACUUAUCCAGGUUUAUUUACAUAUGAAAUCACCAUAAUUUUUGCCAUGGCUCUGGUUCUUGAUAUGGUGCUUAAAAGCACUAUCCCAUCCUGAUUACUCCCGUACAGUUUUUUGUUUCACUAAAGAUCGUCUUUGAGAACUGGACAAUCUUCGAGUCCAUGAAGAGUACUUGCACGGUCAAGCACCAUGAGAUCUUCAUCCGCAACGCCGAGUGCGUUGUGCUCUUCACAAACCUUGAAGAUGAGGCCAAAGAGAAGGACGUCGAGUCUGCCGCCUACUGGGUUCGAUGGGAUGCCACCGAUUUCACCCACCGCCAAUGACGACGAGGCCGGUGGCUCUCCCAUUGAACGAUGUACUUCACCUCUCACAUGAAGAAAUAAGCUUUUUGAGGACUAGGAUUGUUUAUGAAAUAUAAUGAGCAUCUUUUACCACUAAUGGCCUGUGAAGUCUCACCGUAUUAAGACACAUGCAUCACUGUUAAUCAGCUUAAUUAUUCUACUAGAUGACAGCUAUUAAACAAGAGGAGGUGCACAGAGCCAUUGAUACCAGCGGUGGCCAAAUUACCCAUGACGAACCACGGUGUCGGAAGCACAAUAAGCCAUACGAGCAUAUUCAUUGCUCACGCAAAGCAAGCUCAACCCAAAAGUUCAAAGGCAAGAAAGUCCAUGUAAAGCCUGGAAAGUACAUUCUCCGUGCUAACGCUGGCAUGGCCCGCUUUAUCAAGGGUGUUGAGAAAAGAGCCACCAUCACUAAAGGCUGGAGCGACUUCUUCCGUUAGGCACACAUGAACGAAGGGCAAACAUAUGCUUUCACCUUCAAAUACACUUCCAAGGGACUGCGCUUGAUCAUCUACCCAAUAUAAGCAGGUUGCAAGAGCCCCUUGUUAUAUAACUUAGUAUUAGUAUAGAUGCCUAUCAAGACUUCUAUGUUUAUCAUCCUUUUGGAUCUUAUGUAAACCCCUAAGACCAAUCAUGUGCAUUUAGCUAUCGGUUAUUUGCUGCUUAAACUACUGUGUGGUGUGAUUUUGAAAAAACUAUGAUAAAAGAAAUAUACGCUUUCGCCUUCAAGUGCACAUCCAAAGGCCUUUG